UACGUAGGGUGCAAGCGUUGUCCGGAAUUAUUGGGCGUAAAGAGCUCGUAGGCGGUCUGUCGCGUCUGCUGUGAAAACUCAGGGCUUAACCCUGAGCUUGCAGUGGGUACGGGCAGACUAGAGUGCGGUAGGGGAGACUGGAAUUCCUGGUGUAGCGGUGAAAUGCGCAGAUAUCAGGAAGAACACCGAUGGCGAAGGCAGGUCUCUGGGCCACUACUGACGCUGGAGAAGCGGAAAAGCAUGGGGAGCGAACAGG
rnacentral:rRNA from 1 species